rnacentral:tRNA from 1 species
UCCCGAAUGGUGUAAUGGUUAACAUCGCUCGCUCUCACCGAGCAGCUCCGCGUUCGAUUCGCGGUUCGGGAG